CAGCACCAUGGUACCGAACGUGGGAAUGUUUCUCAUGUGCACUGGUGCCUAUGUAUUUCUCCAAGUGGGCCAUGUGAAUGCAGUGGCAUCCUGUGUUUUCCCGUUUACCUAUCAAGGCAAGACGUAUUUUGAUUGCACUCUCCAGAAUGCUUUAUACCGCUGGUGUUCUCUAGAAGAAAAAUAUUCAGGGAAAUGGAAAUAUUGCACAAAGAAUGACCGUACCUCAUGUUUCUUCCCUUUUACCUAUAAGAACAAAUUGUAUCACAGCUGCACAACCGAUGGGGGUUUAUUUAGAAUUUGGUGCUCAGUCACUGCAAACUACGACAAGGAUGAAGCUUGGAGGGACUGCUAAUAGUAGUAAUACAGGAGUGACCCUACCCACAGCCAUGGAUUCAGUCAAGCUUUUGAACCCGAAGCGCAGAAAACCAAGACAUCUCAAGCAUGGAGGGCAUACCCUGAGUGACAGAGUUGACAUCCUUUCCCUGCAUCUUGAGUCCCCCUCGCCUGGCAAUA